rnacentral:rRNA from 1 species
AAAUGAAUUGACGGGGACCCGCACAAGCGGUGGAGCAUGUGGUUUAAUUCGAAGCAACGCGAAGAACCUUACCAGGUCUUGACAUCCCCCUGACCGGUCCGUAACGGGGCCUUUCCUUCGGGACAGGGGAGACAGGUGGUGCAUGGUUGUCGUCAGCUCGUGUCGUGAGAUGUUGGGUUAAGUCCCGCAACGAGCGCAACCCUUAUCCUUAGUAGCCAGCGGUUAGGCCGGGCACUCUAGGGAGACUGCCAGGGACAACCUGGAGGAAGGUGGGGAUGACGUCAAAUCAUCAUGCCCCUUAUGAUCUGGGCUACACACGUGCUACAAUGGUGGCCACAAAGGGAAGCGACCCUGCGAAGGUGAGCAAAUCCCAAAAAAGCCAUCCCAGUUCGGAUUGCAGUCUGCAACUCGACUGCAUGAAGUCGGAAUCGCUAGUAAUCGCGAAUCAGCAUGUCGCGGUGAAUACGUUCCCGGGUCUUGUACACACCGCCCGU